GACGAACGCUGGCGGCGUGCUUAACACAUGCAAGUCGAACGGAAAGGCCCUGCUUUUGUGGGGUGCUCGAGUGGCGAGCGGGUGAGUAACACGUGAGUAACCUGCCCUUGACUUUGGGAUAACUUCAGGAAACUGGGGCUAAUACCGGAUAGGAGCUCCUGCUGCAUGGUGGGGGUUGGAAAGUUUCGGCGGUUGGGGAUGGACUCGCGGGUUAUCAGCUUGUUGGGGGGGUAGUGGCCUACCAAGGCUUUGACGGGUAGCCGGCCUGAGAGGGUGACCGGCCACAUUGGGACUGAGAUACGGCCCAGACUCCUACGGGAGGCAGCAGUGGGGAAUAUUGCACAAUGGGCGGAAGCCUGAUGCAGCAACGCCGCGUGCGGGAUGACGGCCUUCGGGUUGUAAACCGCUUUCGCCUGUGACGAAGCGUGAGUGACGGUAAUGGGUAAAGAAGCACCGGCUAACUACGUG
rnacentral:rRNA from 1 species